ACCCGCGGCUCGGGCUUUCGUCCACACAUUUAGCAUUGCUCGAUAGUUUUAUUCUAAAUCGAUAUAUUUCAUUCCAUCAAUCCGGCUCCAUCCGGUUCCAUCAAUCCUUGGAGCGGCUCGAUGCGAGCCUUCGAGCUGUCAGGAGCUUUUGUGUACAGUAAAUAUUA